rnacentral:rRNA from 1 species
GACGAACGCUGGCGGCGUGCUUAACACACGCAAGUCGAGCGGUAAGGCCCUUUCGGGGGUACACGAGCGGCGAACGGGUGAGUAACACGUGGGUGACCUGCCCUUAGCUCUGGGAUAAGCCUGGGAAACUGGGUCUAAUACCGGAUAUGACUCCAUGACGCAUGUUGUGGGGUGGAAAGCCUUGUGCGGCUAGGGAUGGGCCCGCGGCCUAUCAGCUUGUUGGUGGGGUGAUGGCCUACCAAGGCGACGACGGGUAGCCGGCCUGAGAGGGCGACCGGCCACACUGGGACUGAGACACGGCCCAGACUCCUACGGGAGGCAGCAGUGGGGAAUCUUGCGCAAUGGGCGAAAGCCUGACGCAGCGACGCCGCGUGAGGAUGAC